rnacentral:rRNA from 1 species
AGAGUUUGAUUCUGGCUCAGGAUGAACGCUGGCGGCGUGCUUAACACAUGCAAGUCGAACGGAGAUAUAUGUAGGAAGUUUCGGAUGGAAUAUAUAUAUCUUAGUGGCGGACGGGUGAGUAACGCGUAAACAAUCUGCCUUAGAGAGGGGGAUAACAGAUAGAAAUAUUUGCUAAUACCGCAUAAGACCAAGCUUGGCAUCAAGCAAUGGUAAAAGGAGCAAUCCGCUUUAAGAUGAGUUUGCGUACUAUUAGCUAGUUGGUGAGGUAACGGCCCACCAAGGCGACGAUGGUUAGCCGGCCUGAGAGGGUGAACGGCCACAUUGGAACUGAGAUACGGUCCAGACUCCUACGGGAGGCAGCAGUGAGGAAUAUUGGGCAAUGGGCGAAAGCCCUGACCCAGCAACGCCGCGUGAAGGAAGAAGGUUUUCGGAUUGUAAACUUCUGUUAUAGGGGAAAAGAAAGUGAUGGUACCCUAUGAGAAAGCUACGGCAAACUAUGUGCCAGCCGCGGC